AGCUUUGUGCAGUGGCGGUAUCAUAGCCAAUGAGGUUUAUCUGAGACACGAUUAUCGCCGACUGAAAACUUUCCUAUUAA
rnacentral:snRNA from 1 species